CGCUAGCUACAGGCUUAACACAUGCAAGUCGAGGGGCAUCAGGAAGAAAGCUUGCUUUCUUUGCUGGCGACCGGCGCACGGGUGAGUAACACGUAUCCAACCUGCCCUUUACUCGGGGAUAGCCUUUCGAAAGAAAGAUUAAUACCCGAUAGCAUAAUGAUUCCGCAUGGUUUGAUUAUUAAAGGAUUCCGGUAAAGGAUGGGGAUGCGUUCCAUUAGGUUGUUGGUGAGGUCACGGCUCACCAAGCCUUCGAUGGAUAGGGGUUCUGAGAGGAAGGUCCCCCACAUUGGAACUGAGACACGGUCCAAACUCCUACGGGAGGCAGCAGUGAGGAAUAUUGGUCAAUGGGCGCUAGCCUGAACCAGCCAAGUAGCGUGAAGGAUGAAGGCUCUAUGGGUCGUAAACUUCUUUUAUAUAAGAAUAAAGUGCAGUAUGUAUACUGUUUUGUAUGUAUUAUAUGAAUAAGGAUCGGCUAACUCCGUGCCAGCAGCCGCGGUAAUACGGAGGAUCCGAGCGUUAUCCGGAUUUAUUGGGUUUAAAGGGAGCGUAAGUGGACUGCUAAGUCAGUUGUGAAAGUUGCGGCUUCAACCGUAAAAAUUGCAGUUGAUACUGUCAGUCUUGAGUACAGUAGAGGUGGGGCGGAAUUCGUGGUGUAGCGGUGAAAUGCUUAGAUAUCACGAAGAACUCCGAUUGCGAAGGCAGCUCACUGGACUGCAACUGACACUGAUGCUCGAAAGUGUGGGUAUCAAACAGGAUUAGAUACCCUGGUAGUCCACACAGUAAACGAUGAAUACUCGCUGUUUGCGAUAUACAGUAAGCGGCCAAGCGAAAGCAUUAAGUAUUCCACCUGGGGAGUACGCCGGCAACGGUGAAACUCAAAGGAAUUGACGGGGGCCCGCACAAGCGGAGGAACAUGUGGUUUAAUUCGAUGAUACGCGAGGAACCUUACCCGGGCUUAAAUUGCAGUGGAAUGAUGUGGAAACAUGUCAGUGAGCAAUCACCGCUGUGAAGGUGCUGCAUGGUUGUCGUCAGCUCGUGCCGUGAGGUGUCGGCUUAAGUGCCAUAACGAGCGCAACCCUUAUCUUUAGUUACUAACAGGUCAUGCUGAGGACUCUAGAGAGACUGCCGUCGUAAGAUGUGAGGAAGGUGGGGAUGACGUCAAAUCAGCACGGCCCUUACGUCCGGGGCUACACACGUGUUACAAUGGGGGGUACAGAAGGCAGCUAGCGGGUGACCGUAUGCUAAUCCCAAAAUCCUCUCUCAGUUCGGAUCGAAGUCUGCAACCCGACUUCGUGAAGCUGGAUUCGCUAGUAAUCGCGCAUCAGCCACGGCGCGGUGAAUACGUUCCCGGGCCUUGUACACACCGCCCGUCAAGCCAUGGGAGCCGGGGGUACCUGAAGUACGUAACCGCAAGGAUCGUCCUAGGGUAAAACUGGUGACUGGGGC
rnacentral:rRNA from 1 species